ensembl:lncRNA
GCCCAGGAGGCGUGGCUCGCAGCCUCAGGGUUUGUGGUAAUAGGCUAAGUUUCCCGGUUGUCUCUGGCCAAUCAUCUUGUUUGUUCCCGUAUUUGGUCCGACUCAGGGCCUCCCUCGCUGCGGACUCAGUCAAGAUGAGUUCCAGCGCCAGAGCUUCUGGGAGGACAUAUUAUAGGCUGACAUCGCCUUCUGCUUUGGCUCCUCCCGAGUUCUUCUGGUCUGGCAGCAGCUUGUCUGCACUGUGUUCUUUAUCAGGACCUCCUGUUGAGAAACAACUCGUACAAAGGGUUACUGUCGUGCCUGAUUGGGUGAGACCACACAAACUCAAGUGUCAGAGUUUGAAGCAGAGAAAAAUGUGUUGCAAGGUCACGCAAGGCCCAAGCACCCUGAAGGGUUUUGGCAAAGCACUUUUAAAAGCCAGAUGAAGGAGGGGGAUUUGCAGGAACUGCUACUGUGGCCAUUUGUGACCAGCUGAGGAUGAAGCCAGUGCUGGAGAGGACAGAGAGAAGAGCUCGAAAGAACCUGGCUUCUUCAUAACAUUGCUGAGUGGCUGGAUCCACCUGCCUUUGAAGCUCUUGAUCUCUCUGCCAACUUUCAUGUUACCUGAGAUAAUAAACUCUUUAU